GGGGGGGGGAAGAGAUUCUAUUUGUUUAUUAGUUUGGGACUUGGGGCCUUUGUGUUUGGGGUAGUAAAUUAGUAAUUCAAGCUUGUAGAUUAAAGUAUGUAAGCCUGAAAUUCCAGACUAGAUAUAAAUUUCUAUGAUUUGUCUGAUUCAACCGGUACAUCCUGUUCAGCCAAUUUCUAUGAUUUGCUCAGACGGUUCAUCCAGUUUUGACUCGUUUUUGACCAAUCUGGUUUAAGGGCUAUAUACCAGAUUGGUUAGCUGAUCGGUUCUCGGUUCAACCAAUUGAACCGGCUGGUUUGGUCUGGUUUGAUGACCUUGAUGGACUCUUUUGUAGUAUGAACUUAUUCUUGUCAAAAAUAAGGGGUGCAUGAAUUUUCUCAGUAUCAUACUGCAGUUCUCCCACCCCCGACCUCCUCCCCACACAUAUGUGAGAAUCUCUCUCUCUCUCUCUCUCUCACACACACACACACAAAAUCAAAGGAUUAAGCGUUCAUUGCCAAUGGCAUGCUGCAUAGAGCCAUUGCCAAUACUUCGCAUGCACUGCACAGCAGCAUGCCUAAUUCCAGCUGCUGGUUAGGUACUGGUACAAUAUGUGUUUUGCAUGUUUGAUGAACUUAAAUCCAUGAUAAAGACACUCAUAUGAAAGUUGAAACAUGGCUUGUCAUGGAGUAAGCAGGAUGUUGCUUUGUUCGUUUGCAUCAUUUUGUAUCAAAUUCAAGUCCUAUAUAUAUAUAUAUAUAUAUAUAUGAUGCAUUACAUGAAUUACAAGACAUUCGGAAAAAUGUGACACAUUACUUCUUGAAUUCUCAGGUGUUAUUGGAGGAUAUUGGUCUGUGUUUCAUUGAAGGCAAGAUUAAUGUGAGCCAUAUGGAGCAAGCUUAAAGUGAAUGGAAGUUGCUUUUAAUGUUUUAGGUCAUUGAUUACUACUCCAAGAAGCGUGUUGUGGCGCAGCUCCAUGCUGACAAACCCCCAAAAGAAGUUACUGCUGAGGUUCAGAAGGCUCUUUCAUGAGUGGAACCUCCUCCCUAUUGUUUGAAGUAAAUGUAGCAUUAAUAUCAGUAAAACCCACCUGGGCAUUAUUUCUCAUGUGCAGUCUGAUGCACUGUCAGCUGGAGGUUUAAUCUCCUCACUUUUUGCCCCUUUCGCCUAAUCCUUUUGCAAAUCAGCCUUUUGGCUUCAGAGUUCUUUGGAAAUGUAGACCAGAAUAAAGUUUUUCCCAUGAAACCAAGAGUUUUUGUAGUAAAACUUGUGAUGUGGCAUCGAUGCUACAUUUUAAUCAGAUCUUAUGGGUGAAAAUCUUAGGAAAUGUGAAUUUAUCUGUGGUUUUGUGGACUGUUGCUCAUGUUUAUCAUAGACUUGCAAGGUCAACGAUCUGUGAUAGGUGGCUUGUAAGAUCUAUGUAAUUUAUCUAAGAUCUUAGAUGCCUUAUGUGUUAACAUGCUUGCAUUAAUAGAGAUA